AACGAACGCUGGCGGCAGGCUUAACACAUGCAAGUCGAACGCCCCGCAAGGGGAGUGGCAGACGGGUGAGUAACGCGUAGGGACAUACCCUUUCCUGCGGAAUAGCUCUGGGAAACUGGAAUUAAUACCGCAUACGCCCUACGGGGGAAAGAUUUAUCGGGGAAGGAUUGGCCCGCGUUGGAUUAGCUAGUUGGUGGGGUAAAGGCCUACCAAGGCGACGAUCCAUAGCUGGUCUGAGAGGAUGAUCAGCCACAUUGGGACUGAGACACGGCCCAAACUCCUACGAGAGGCAGCAGUGGGGAAUAUUGGACAAUGGGCGCAAGCCUGAUCCAGCUAUGCCGCGUGAGUGAUGAAGGCCUUAGGGUUGUAAAGCUCUUUCACCGAUGAAGAUAAUGACGGUAGUCGGAGAAGAAGCCCCGGCUAACUUCGUGCCAGCCGCCGCCGUAACAC
rnacentral:rRNA from 1 species